rnacentral:rRNA from 1 species
UACGGGGGGGGUAAGCGUUAAUCGGAAUUACUGGGCGUAAAGCGUGCGCAGGCGGCUAUGCAAGACAGAUGUGAAAUCCCCGGGCUCAACCUGGGAACUGCGUCUGAUACUGGAUGGCUCGAGUGUGGGAGAGGGAUGCGGAAUUCCAGGUGUAGCGGUGAAAUGCGUAGAUAUCUGGAGGAACACCGGUGGCGAAGGCGGCAUCCUGGACCAUAACUGACACUGAUAAGCGAAAGCCAGGGGAGCAAACGGG